AUGAACGCUAGCUACAGGCUUAACACAUGCAAGUCGAGGGGCAGCAUGAACUUAGCUUGCUAAGUUUGAUGGCGACCGGCGCACGGGUGAGUAACACGUAUCCAACCUGCCGAUGACUCGGGGAUAGCCUUUCGAAAGAAAGAUUAAUACCCGAUGGCAUAGUUCUUCCGCAUGGUAGAACUAUUAAAGAAUUUCGGUCAUCGAUGGGGAUGCGUUCCAUUAGGUUGUUGGCGGGGUAACGGCCCACCAAGCCUUCGAUGGAUAGGGGUUCUGAGAGGAAGGUCCCCCACAUUGGAACUGAGACACGGUCCAAACUCCUACGGGAGGCAGCAGUGAGGAAUAUUGGUCAAUGGACGAGAGUCUGAACCAGCCAAGUAGCGUGAAGGAUGACUGCCCUAUGGGUUGUAAACUUCUUUUAUACGGGAAUAAAGUGAGGCACGUGUGCCUUUUUGUAUGUACCGUAUGAAUAAGGAUCGGCUAACUCCGUGCCAGCAGCCGCGGUAAUACGGAGGAUCCGAGCGUUAUCCGGAUUUAUUGGGUUUAAAGGGAGCGUAGGCGGACGCUUAAGUCAGUUGUGAAAGUUUGCGGCUCAACCGUAAAAUUGCAGUUGAUACUGGGUGUCUUGAGUACAGUAGAGGCAGGCGGAAUUCGUGGUGUAGCGGUGAAAUGCUUAGAUAUCACGAAGAACUCCGAUUGCGAAGGCAGCUUGCUGGACUGUAACUGACGCUGAUGCUCGAAAGUGUGGGUAUCAAACAGGAUUAGAUACCCUGGUAGUCCACACAGUAAACGAUGAAUACUCGCUGUUUGCGAUAUACAGUAAGCGGCCAAGCGAAAGCGUUAAGUAUUCCACCUGGGGAGUACGCCGGCAACGGUGAAACUCAAAGGAAUUGACGGGGGCCCGCACAAGCGGAGGAACAUGUGGUUUAAUUCGAUGAUACGCGAGGAACCUUACCCGGGCUUGAAUUGCAACUGAAUGAUGUGGAGACAUGUCAGCCGCAAGGCAGUUGUGAAGGUGCUGCAUGGUUGUCGUCAGCUCGUGUCGUGAGAUGUUGGGUUAAGUCCCGCAACGAGCGCAACCCUUAUCGAUAGUUACCAUCAGGUUAUGCUGGGGACUCUGUCGAGACUGCCGUCGUAAGAUGUGAGGAAGGUGGGGAUGACGUCAAAUCAGCACGGCCCUUACGUCCGGGGCUACACACGUGUUACAAUGGGGGGUACAGAAGGCAGCUACACGGCGACGUGAUGCUAAUCCCGAAAGCCUCUCUCAGUUCGGAUUGGAGUCUGCAACCCGACUCCAUGAAGCUGGAUUCGCUAGUAAUCGCGCAUCAGCCACGGCGCGGUGAAUACGUUCCCGGGCCUUGUACACACCGCCCGUCACACCAUGAGAGUUGGGAAUACCCGAAGCCUGUGAGCUAACCUAAGAGGCAGCAGUCGAAGGUAGAAUCAAUGAUUGGGGUG
rnacentral:rRNA from 1 species